AGGGGUGUAGCUCAAGUGGUAGAGCGCAUGCUUAGCAUACAUGAGGUCCUGGGUUCAAGCCCCAGGACCUCCA
rnacentral:tRNA from 1 species